AAUCGCACAACGUCAUGUGCUUUUGUUGUCUUGCGCUCGCAGAGCACUCGGCUAAUGAAUGUAACGAUGUGUCUUGAGUCUGGUAUAGGAUAAUUUGUCAUUCAGAGUCGCCGCUAGCCACUGUGUUAUUCCGUUUUCUGUUGGCCCGGGUUGAUCAGUGUUGUUCCCUCAUCUCGGGAACACCAGGUCUACAGUAUGCUAAUUUUUUUGCACCCAUUAGACGACAAUGUAUGAGAGAAAAGACGGAUUCAUAUUGCUGGAAUUACAAUAUUGAUCAAUCUUCCUGUUGAUGUUGAAUAAAAUGCACUUG